CUGUAUGAGGAAGUGAGGAAGUCGCUGGAGCAGUGUGACAUCCAGGAAGAUAUCGAACACUUUGUAAACCUCAGACGGACCGGCGACAAACCGGCAGCUGCUGUUUUGUAUGAGAACUUCUACAGUGGUCAGAGGUCUCCGAUUGUAGCUCCUCCCUCUCGGCAGCCUCCACCAAUCACAAGGAGAGGGCGGCCACCACCUGAGCCAACACAAAACAGUCAGGAUGCAGUCUACGCCACGGUGCAGGACGCCGGCUACAGUCUUAUCCAGUACUAACGCACACAGAUCUGCCUGAGGACAUAUAGUACAUGUUGUGCAGCACAGACAGCGAGUUUACCGACUACAUGUCAUUACUUCCUCCUUUGUGAGCUCCUGUAAACAUAAGUUCAUACCAGACGCAAAGUUUGUGUCAUAACUGUGCGCAUAAGGAGUUAAAGGCGAGGUUGUGUGGCGUUUUGAACAUAUCACUGUGUUAUAAACAGUAUAGGAAAUGUCUUUAUUUUAUUUUAAGGAGAAAAAAUAUUAAAAUAAUCCAAAAGUAUGUAUUUUUCAAAUUUAAAAAAGGCUACAAAGGGGAUUUCUGAUUCAUAUUUUGCUGAACUUGACACAUAAAAGUGAUUAAACAAACCGAAAACAGUGACAUCUGUCUAAUUACUGGAUGAACUCCUACACAGAGCCUGGUAGUUACUAUUGUGUGUGUCACGCAGGGCUCUUUUCUUCUACAUAACUACAUCUUUCAGCCUCGUAUUUAUUUCUCCAAAUCAUCGCGUUUUAAAAUAGAGAUUGACAAAGUAGGACAAAUUUUCAUCUGUUUACUUGUUUUCAUUUCCUCCAUGUUGUGAAAGUCGCGUGUCAGCUGACAGCAAUCCUGUGAUUGGAAAGGGUCGCUUACAAAAUUGCAACACACUGUUUUCUUAAUUCUUCAGUGAACUGUCAAGUUUUAUGGUGACAUUCCGGUCAGUCAGAUGCAUGUGUGAUGAUCACUGGAGGAGUUUUGUUGAAAAUUUUGCACUUUAAUUUUGCUUUAUUUAUACAAAAAAAUGCACAAUUUGUAAAAAGAAAUGCUACAAAAUUUGGCUGCAUUUGAAGUUCCAGAAGUAAAGAUUCUCUAAUUGAUCCUGGUGUUGGUUUUCUGUUCUUCAGACUUUUCUGUUGACAGUAGUCCAAACCUUGUCCACCAAUUUAAACUGUGUUAUUACAUCUUUAACAUGGUGUAAUGUUCUAUUCUCACCUGUUAUUAUGUACAACUGUGAAUGAAUAAGGACAUCUCAUGGGAAUUUUCUUUUUUUUUUUUUUUAAAUAUUUGAACAAGCAAACAUUUGAUCCAAAAAGUGCCUACAAAUAAAGGUGGCUUUCUUGAACAAAA